GAUGAACGCUAGCGGGAGGCUUAACACAUGCAAGUCGAGGGGCAGCACUAUGUAGCAAUACGUUGGUGGCGACCGGCGCACGGGUGAGUAACACGUAUGCAACCUACCCUGUACAGGGGGAUAACCCGGAGAAAUUCGGACUAAUAUCCCAUAGAAAUAUCGGAAGGCAUCUUUUGAUAUUUAAAGUUCCGGCGGUACGGGAUGGGCAUGCGUAACAUUAGCUAGUUGGUAAGGUAACGGCUUACCAAGGCUUUGAUGUUUAGGGGUCCUGAGAGGGUGAUCCCCCACACUGGUACUGAGACACGGACCAGACUCCUACGGGAGGCUG
rnacentral:rRNA from 1 species